AGCUGAUCCAAAGGUAGUAAGUUAUCUCAAUUAAUUGUUCAGUCACAGUCACAUAUGGAACUCCUUGUUUACUUUUUCCUCCUCACUAUAGCACUUGACUAGUCUUUA
rnacentral:Y_RNA from 1 species